CUCCACACAGCGUUCCCCUUGUCCGCUAAAUCCCGUCCCUUCUCCAAAAAAUGCUCGUCCUGUUGCUAAGAAACCAACCAACCAACCAAUCGAAACCCUCUGUGACUGUCAACCCCAUCACCGCAACGAAGGCUAUUGCCACAGCAGUUACCACGACAACCAUUUCAUCUCAAAAUCGACCUUGGAAUAGGUCGCGGGUCAAAUCGCUAUGGCAACAACGAGUAUCGAAUCUGAAGCCGUCCAAUCAGAAUGCAGGAUUCCAUUAGAGCGUAGACAGUGGACUGGAUGCUUUUGGUUAUGUCCCGUUCACUCCACAAAGAAUAGGAUCAGAGACCAACCUGACCACAGUGACUGGCAGUCCAUUUCCUACGGAUGACUUUGGUAGCACUCCAUUAAUUUUGACGGACGUUCCUCUACCCGCUCUUAUAAUACUGCUGACAAUGCAAGACGAGAUUUGUUUGGAGCACCCCCCUUUGGAGAGGGUUCAAAGGUUACGGCGACAAUGACAACUGUAGAUCAAUUUGGAGCAGUUCCUUUUAGCUGAAUUUUAAUAUUUUAUUUUUCCGUCUGUUUAGUAUAUUAUUUAUAAGUGUUGUUUUGUGUGUAGCAGGAUCAUGUGUGUAGUAGGAUCACAUGACUGGACUAUUGACUGUGUCCUAUAAUUAUUAUAAAAUUAAUGAUGUUCAGUGCUUUUACUUUAUAUGCAAUAUCUUUGUUGAAAGAGUAAUUAAGUUUUUAUGGCCGGAAGCUUAAAGACCCUUGAAAUACAAAAAGAGGGUGUGGCACUUAAUUUUGCUUUGUUUACUGAGGGGAGAAUUUGACAGAGUUUGAACAAAGCUUCAAUGGCUGAACAAGAUUCAGAUGCUCAAAAGAAGCUAGCCAGGGACUUAUACAAGGCUGUAGACAAUCAUGACGUCCCCAAAGUUAGGUCCCUGUUGGGACAGGGGGCAGACCCCAACCACAAGCUCUACUGGAGUGACGAGUGGCCGGGUAAGCUGCCUCCAUUACACAGGGCUUGCUGGAGGGGCUACCUUGAGAUUGUGAAGACACUUGUUACUCAUGGAGCUCGUACUGAUGAAGCUGGUGGGUGGCUUAACUUGAUUCCACUUUACUGGGCAUGCUGGAAAGGUCAUAAAGAGGUGGUCAAGUACUUUUUCCGCGAGCUUGGAUUUAGCACUGUGCUCUGUUCCACAACAGAUGUGAGGGAUAAGGAUAACAAGACUCCUCUUCACUGGGCUUGUGUGGGAGGAAGUAUAGACGUGGUACAGUAUCUGGUGGAGGAGAGGAAGAUGGAUGUUGAUGUGAAUGAUGAGGGACAGUCACCACUGGACAUAGCUCUGGGAGGUCUGUAUGAAUAUGGUGAAGGUGGUUGUGUGGAUGUUGCCCUCUAUCUGACGAGCCGUGGCUGUGGUGGUGAUAAGGACAAAGCCAAGUUACUCUGUACAGCAUGUGGCUAUGGCAACCUGGGUGUGGUGAAGGAACUGGUUGAGCUACACAAAGUUGACCCCAAGAAUGUGAGGGAUGGUAAGGGAAAGUCACCACUGGACAAAGCUCUGGAGGAUCUGUAUGAAUGUGGUGAUGGUUGUGUGGAUGUUGCCCACUACCUGAUGAGCCGUGGCUGUGCAUGUGGUGAUGAGGACAAAGCCGAGUUACUGCGUGCAGCAUGUUACCAUGGCAACAUGGGUGUAGUGAAGGAACUAGUCGAGCAACACAAAGUUGACCCCAAUGUGAGGGAUUAUGGCACCAACUGGACCCCUCUCCGCUUUGCAUGCUGCAAUGGACACAAAGAUGUGGUGCAGUAUUUGGUGGAGAAGGCCAACUGUGAUAUCAGUGUAACUGACGAUGAUGGUGAGACUCCUCUUGACUUUGCUACACAGGCAGGUCACACUGAAAUUGCGGACUACCUCAAGUCUCUACCACAACAAUCUGCUGUGACUGGAGACACUGACUCCAGGAGUGACGAGAAUGGACCACCACCGACAAAGAAACGAAAAAGUGGCCAGCCAGUGACUCUGAGAGUGUGUCCUAACUGUGAGGAGAGCUGUCACAUUCGCUGCAAGAAAUGUCCCGAAUGUGAGCACGAGUUUCCUCCUUCCACUAAGAGCAGGGCCAAACCUGACCAGGAUAUUGUGAAAAACCCUUCAAACCUACUGCAGAUACUUCAGAAAAAGGUCACUACACAGUACACACUUUAUACUGUAUUAGUACCAGUAACAGUAAUAUUGUAUUGUACAGCCGAAUAGCCGCGGUUAUGAUUUCAUACAUAGUACCGUACCGCCCACCGCGGAACCAAAAUCUAAUUAAUUUUAAAUUACUUUCAUUAUCAGCUCCUAGCAAAGAAAGAUGCGUAGCUAAGAAGCAGUAGCAGUUAUCUGCAGGCAACUUUGUUGCAAACUAGUCUAGAAUAGUUAUUCUGCCAGGAUCUCUGAGUUUUGAACGGAGCAGGUAACCAGCCAAGGCCCCAGCGAAGGAUCAUUUCACAGCAUUCGCUUCUAGCAAAGAAAGAUGUAUAACUUGGAAACAGUGACAAUUUUCUUUAUUCAACUUCGUAGCAAAGUAGUCUACAGUAGUUACUGUGUCAGGAUCUCCUUGUUUCUUACGGAAAAGUCAACCAGCCAAGGCCAGAGCGAGGGAUCUCUUCAGAGUGUGGCAAAGAAAGAUGCACCCCUUAGUAACAGUAACAGUUCUCUUUAAGCUACCUUGUAGCUAGUUACUCUGUCAGGACCUCCAAUCUGAACAGUCAACCAGCUACGCGCCAAGGACAGAGCGAGAUUUUACUUCAGAGCUGUGAUGAAUGCUGGAAUUUUGUCUUGAAUCGGAGAUCUGAAAGUUUGGGCCAACAGAUUGGUUGAGAUGGUGGGAGUCCAUAGUCUGGCCAGGAGUGGAACUGCUUACAGGGAAAGAAAGAAAAGGCUUGUUGGGCUUAUGAGUGUACUGUUUAUGAGUCUAUGGAACUAUCGUCUGCUAUCUGCCAUGGAACCACCACCAUCUUAUGGGUCUGAGAAGCUCUACUCACUGUGACUACUAUCCAGGAUACCUAGGAGUACCUCAUCCCCUGUGUACAGAGGCCUCUUAGUCAUUGUUGUACCAUAGAAUUAAUUGUAAUUGUAUUUAUUAUAAUGUAUGUUCACUUUUGAGAUUGAUAUUGAAAUACAAAUUUCACAUGAAAAUUUCAGCAAAUUUU